AUGCAAGGACUAGAAUCCCUCAACCAGGUCCUGGUUACUAAGAGCGUAAGAGACAACGACAAACUGCAAGCGGCUCGGAAAGAGUUGAUCGAUGGCUUGAAUGUGGCUACAAAUGGCAGGGCAAACAUAGGCCUGAAGAGGAUGGGGGAGCUUGAUCCAAAAGCGGUUGCAAAUGCUUGCAGACCGAGAUUGUCACAAAAGAAAACUCUUAUUCUUUGUUCCAAGUGGGAGACUAAAAUCAGAAACGCGGGUUGGCACCCUUUUAAGGUCAUCAUGGUUGACGAUCAGCCCAUGGAAAUUUUCUUGGACGAUGAUGACAAGCUUGUGGAGCUAAAACAAGAACACGGUGACCAAAUGUUCGCCUUGGUGAAACAGGCGCUGAUUGAAAGGAACAAGUACAACCCCAGUGGUGGCUAUCCUGAAACGUUGCUGUGGAACUUCAAGCACAGUCGGGAGGCAACAAUGGAAGAAGCCGUCCAAUUCAUUGUAAAAAAGUGUUGUGCAAAGAAGAGAAAGCAUUGA
rnacentral:rRNA from 1 species